AUUGAACGCUGGCGGCAGGCUUAACACAUGCAAGUCGAGCGGGGUGAUGGUGCUUGCACUAUCACUUAGCGGCGGACGGGUGAGUAAUGCUUAGGAAUCUGCCUAUUAGUGGGGGACAACAUCUCGAAAGGGAUGCUAAUACCGCAUACGUCCUACGGGAGAAAGCAGGGGAUCACUUGUGACCUUGCGCUAAUAGAUGAGCCUAAGUCGGAUUAGCUAGUUGGUGGGGUAAAGGCCUACCAAGGCGACGAUCUGUAGCGGGUCUGAGAGGAUGAUCCGCCACACGGGGACUGAGACACGGCCCAGACUCCUACGGGAGGCAGCAGUGGGGAAUAUUGGACAAUGGGGGGAACCCUGAUCCAGCCAUGCCGCGUGUGUGAAGAAGGCCUUAUGGUUGUAAAGCACUUUAAGCGAGGAGGAGGCUCUUUUGGUUAAUACCCAGAAUGAGUGGACGUUACUCGCAGAAUAAGCACCGGCUAACUCUGUGCCAGCCGCCGCAGUAA
rnacentral:rRNA from 1 species